rnacentral:rRNA from 1 species
AUACGGAGGGUGCAAGCGUUACUCGGAGUCACUGGGCGUAAAGCGCGCGCAGGCGGGCUGAUAAGUUGGAUGUGAAAGCCUACGGCUCAACCGUAGAACUGCAUCCAAAACUGUCAGUCCAGAGUCUGGGAGGGGAAGAUGGAAUUAGUUGUGUAGGGGUAAAAUCCGUAGAGAUAACUAGGAAUACCAAAAGCGAAGGCGAUCUUCUGGAACAGUACUGACGCUGAGGCGCGAAAGCGUGGGGAGCAAACAGGAUUAGAAACCCUAGUAGUCC